GCUCAAUCCAGCCAAAUUGGAGGAGUAUCUGGGACCAAAGUAGUGCUGCAUGCAACUGAGAAAGAUGGAAAAUCCAAGAUGGAGAGGGAAGCGACUCAUCAAGCUGCACAAUGAGUUAUCUGCAGAGCCAGGAGUAGAGGCCAGAGUCCUGACUGCCAAACCCAACUGUCACAAACUAAAAAAAAAACAACAACGAGGAACCCACUUCAUCGGGUUCUAGCCCACGGAAGCUUAUGCCCAAAUAAAUUGGUUAGUCUCUAAGGUGCCACAAGGACUCCUCAUUGUUUUUGCUGAUGCAGACUAACACGGCUACCACUCUGAAACUACACAAACUGCAUCUCUUGAUUCUUGCUUUUCUUGUUCUGAAGCCAACAAUCUGCAUGGUGACCUGGGAUCCCACACGGGCCUGGCUGGGCAGAUUAGAAUCCGUUCAGACCCCACUGUCUCUCGUAUACCUCAUCACACGAGAUGAUGCAACAAUGCUGUGAUGUUAACUGCUCAUCUCUGACAUACUUCACCAAAGGAGAAGAUGCCAUAGUACCUGGAUGUUAUCAUUUCCUGCCUAGUCACUGCUCAGCAGCCCCACAGAUGAGCAGAGAAAGGUGAGCUUGGAGAAGCCAGUAUAAGUUCACUCAAUAACCCACUGGAGUCUGAAAGGACAGGGAUAUGGAGAAAGACUGGAGGGACUGCAGAGAGAGGGUGAAAUGACAAGAGACUAGCGUACAGGGCGGUGCCAUGUGCAGUAGAGAGAAAACAAGUGAUUGCCCAGGAAGAGGAAGAGGGAUGGGAAGAGAAUCCCUGGAGGAGAAGCUGUGAGACACUGUGUGAAAGACGACAGAGAAUCAUAAUGGAUCAUGCUGAAGUGAAAAAGGAAAAGAACUACUGCAAGGGAUCACACUGAGGAGGAAGAGAAGAGACAGCAAGAAAUUGCACAGGGGAGGAGAACAGAGCAUGAGAGAAUGCACUGAGGAGGAGGAGGAAGGACCGUGAGAGAUUGUUUCGAGAAGGAGGAGAAACCACAAGGGAUCACACUGAGGAGGAAAAGAGGGACCACAAGAGAUCGUGCAGAGGAGUAGGAGGAGGCAGCACUGCUGCUCAGAAGAAGAGGGAUGAGCAUGAAGGUCUGCUGACGACACCCUAAAAAACAUGGAUUGCCUCCUUGGUGUGGUAUAUCUGCUGAAGGAAGUGAUCCAGUCUUAUCUACAAGUUGUCAUCGGAAUCUGUCUGGUAGCAUUUAGCUGCAGUCUUGGCUUUCUUGUGUCAGGUGGGGGUGUUUCCUACAUCAAAGUGGAAGUAAGAAUGCUGCCCACAACUCACAGACAAAUUGAGGAGCUCAGAACAAACACAAAGUUAAGCUUAAAUUUGGUGCUUUGUCUUCACAUAUUACAUUUUGCAGCUCCCAAGGGUCUUCAUGGAAUCCAGUCAUAUAUUAGGUAUAGUACAGACAGGCGGUCUCUUACUCCUUUCGACUCCAAUGGCACUUUAUUCUUGGGGAGAGGGUAAUAUUUUAAUAUUGGGUUUUGUUGCAAAUUUAAUCACUCUUAGCUUCUAAAGAGCCAAGUUUGAAGGCGACAGUUAAUUAUGAGGAGCUGAUUACCAGUCAGGGCAAAGAAAUAACAGAAUUUGAAAACAGGAUCUUGGAAAGACUAGAAAAAUGGUCUGGAAACAAAACAAGACUCAACCUGGAAAAAUAAGCCAAACUUAUGCCUUUGGGUACAAUUAUCCGAAAUACACAACAGCAAUGGGAGAGAGUAAAGAGAUGAGCAACAAAAGUGGUUAAGGAGUUGAUUUACAAGGUGAGAUGAAAACAAUUAAAUAGUAUGUCCAAUUUGGCUAAGAAACUGCAAGAGGAAGGGAAGACAUAAGAGUCUACAAAUAUUUGAAGGGUGUAUACAUCAAAGAGAGAACAGGAUUAUUUAGCAUAUUCAAAAGAGUAAGUAAUGCAUAAAGUAAAUAACAAGUAGGAGUAAUGGUAUGACAUUUUAUAAGUGGAAACUUAGGCAGAAGAGCAGGAAAAGCUUCCUGACAGAGAUGUAUUAGCAUCUGGAAUCAUCCCCCAAAGGAAGUCCUGGAAGCCUCAUCACUUGGCACAUAUAAGCUGGACUGGAUAAAACUGCAAGUACUGGAAGGGCCUGAUCCAAAGCCACUGAAGUCAAUGGAAAGUCUCCCCAUUGAGUUCUAUGGGGUUUGGAUCAGACCCUAAAUAUCAAGCAGGGAACAAUCCUGCAAUGGAGAGAUGAACUGUCAGUAAGUGACUUUACAAAAAGGAUCCAGGGUGGUAGUAGCCUGCACCAAAUAAAAAGGAAAACAAGUGCAAAAUUAAGAAGAAAAUAAGGCAUCCUGCUGCUUUAAAGCAACACGGCUGUCUGUGAAGAGCUGCUCUGCUUGGGCCAACAGAGAAAGAGAGAGAGAGAGUCAGGAGGGUUGAGGUUUUCAUUAGCCCCUGGGAGAAUCAUGGGAGAAUCAAUUGCCAAACAAAGACAACUUCACUUUACCCAGGGCAGGAUAUGUGUGGGUGAGAGAGAGAGAGAGAAUGUGUGUGAGAGAGAAUGUGCACUGUAUUUUUAAAUGUGCAAGAAGCCGAGCUGGAGAAGGCUGGAGCCAAGCAGAGGGCAAGGCAGAAUAGCUACACAGUUAAUACUGUUUUCCUUAUUCUAAUAAAGUUCCUUGUUCAGUUUUAGAAGUAACCAACACACUGUGAUUUUUGUUCACCAUAAAAAUGGACAGUGCACUGCUUCCUUCCCAAGAGCUCCCUAGUCUACCACCCCUUUCUAUUAAUACCCUUUCUUGGGCUGAGCAGUGUGAGACAGACCUUCUGCCUGGUUUUCAUUGCAUGCAAUUAACCCCCUCCCUGCCUAUCUGUGUGAGGUAUACACACUCCAUCACCACUGUUGAAUAGGGAUAUUCUGUCUCCAGAUUCUAUGGGCCAAAAUCUGUUAUCAGCUGCACCGGUGUGAAUGUGGAAUCGUUCCACUGACUUCAGUGGAGUAACUGCAUUCACACUGUAUAAGAGAACUGAAUUUGCGUCUAUGAUUCUGUGAAACUUUCCUCUCUGACAAAUAAAUAUUUAAAUUAUAUUUUUAAUUAAAAAAAAAUUAUCAGUUGAAAGUGUGUGUGUGUGUGUGUGUGUGAGUACCCCUUCCCAUACAUCCACAAAUUUCUGCAAGUAAUCAUGGAAUUUGCCUUCCAUCAGUCAUCAUUCUGCUUGUAUGCAUACUGUAUCCCUUUACUCUUACCUUUUGUCUGUACUGUCUGUUUAGAUUGUAAACUCUUUGGGGGAAAGGACAUUCAGUCUCUAAUAAACCCAUAUAAAACAAUUUAAAAUGAAGUUAAGGUUGACAGUAUAUUUUAGUAAUUUAAAGGCAAAAAACAUUAUGGGGAUGUUGCAAUUAUUCCCAAACCAAACAUUACAAGCCUAGGAAAUUCAGAGUUAAAGUUACACUUAAAAAAAAUCCAAAAAGGCUAAGGUACAGAAAUGCACAGCCAAGGUACACAAACAAUCUUAACUCUGCCCUGCAGUGACACACAACCACACCAUUGUGAUCAGGAGUGAAAGUGAGCCGGUACGGGCCGGUACUCCGUACUGGUAAGAACCCGCACCGGACCAUACCCAGCCCGUAUUAAAGUGCUGCCGCGGCAGCGCUUUAAUGUCCCUGCCCCUUUUGCCUCCCCUGUCGGGGGCCCUGCCGGUAGGGUCCAUACCGGCAGGGCUGCCAAUGGGGGGUGGGGGGAGGGAGCCGCAGCAACGUUAAAGCGCUGCUGUGGCAAAGGACCCUGCAGCACUUUAACGUCCCUGCCCCUUCCCCCCCCGCCCAUCAGUGGCCAGGGGGUAGAGGGGCAAAGGGAGCAGCUGCCCUGGAGCCGGCGAUUUAAAAGGGCCCAGGGCUCCAGGCCCUUUAAAUCAACAUGGGAGCCCCGGGCAGCGCGGGCCAAGGGCUGGCUGGGGGAUGCUGACCCACAGCCCCGCCCCUUCCGCCCAAGGCCCCACCCCUUCCGGGGGCCAGAGCCAGCCUGCCCCCGUACCAGUAAGUGUCCUCAGUUACUUUCACCCUGAUUAUGAUUAAAGCAGUUUAGUGUUUGUUGUCCUCAAUUAGAUCAGCCGAUUAUUAAAGACACAGAUUUUUUUUCCAUACUUUCCCCCCCGUUCAGAGUGUCACUACAGAGCAGAGUUAAGGUUGUGAUACUUGUCAUGGAACAAAGAAAAGGCCCUUGUCUGGCCUAAGGUUAUUUCCCCCACUGAAUUUCAAAGGACUCCUGCAAGCUAUGGCAAUAGUAGAGCUUCUCAAUAAGACUGCACAAAUUGUAACAUGGAAAGUGUUAAUCGGUCUACAUAUAGGUGUUGUUCCCUGCUCACUCUAAUGAUAAGUCACAUGCCUGAUUAAAUAGUGCAGGAUGGAUGAACCAAUCGGACUGAAAUAAAAAAAUACUGAACCUUCAUCUAAGGUCAAAGGCCCAACUACUCUACACAAAAUCCUUGUUAGCUGAACUUUUUUUUAAAAAGUGGGUUUUAAAAAGCCCUAAUGUAGUAUUGAAAAUUGCAUUCAUAUACAUCAGAAUCCGGCUUUUUCCCAUAUACAAGUCUCACACAAGUUUUAAAUGUUUCGGUCCCAUUUAUACUACAAAUGUUCCACAACAGUCCAGCUGGCAGAGGCUGCUGAAGCACCAUGUUGAUUCAGCACAUCCCUGGGUGGUCUGAGCUCUAGCCAUGCCCACUUACUUUUGGGGCUGGCUUGGCCCACUGCAAGCCCCUCUAGUGCAAGAGAUGAUUUAUAGCUGCUUUGUGUGGCCUCUACCUCCCCAUGGUGGACUUUCCAGUUUGGGAGUCCUCUGCGUAAACCCUGGAGGAAUAAUCCUUCCCCUAUCCCCAGUGCUCUUCCAUUCUCUAAUUUUAUUUCCCAGCUGGUGUUGGAAACUACCAGACAUCAGAAGUUAGUAUGUAUCAGUGCAUGUGGCAACAUGGUAUGUGUAUGACCCAUGUCCCAAUAACAUGAGCAUGGUUAUAUGUUCCAAGAUGAAACAGCCAGGGGUACUAGUCAGCACUACCACAUUUAACAAUUUCUUCCCCUACCAGUACCACACAUAUCCCCAAAUAGGUCUUUGCCUCAUCAUACACACACCCAGUCCUGCAAAGGGGGAAAGAAUAGCACCAUGAGAGCCUACUUAGCCUUGCACACUAGUUACAGAUGUGUCAUCUUUUGGCUGUAUCAGAAAAAUCCCUCAACUGCAAAAUACCUCAGACUAACAUUUGGCAGCUCCUGUGGUUUUGCAAUGUGUGAAACUCCUAGGUUUAAUAGUUAGCUUUGCAGCAGGUGAGCAUGUAUUUUUGUGGAGGGCGAAGGAAGGGGUUUUCCUCUGACUUUUUAUGGGGGUAUAAUCUUUGCACACAUAUUUCUUUUACCUGUUUUUAAAACGCACAGAAAAUAAAAGCAGAAACAAAACAAAAAAUUACCGUAUAACCAAUCACAGCCUUUGUCAAGGACGAGGGAACUAAUCAAGUCCAGAUUAGUGGGUGUACAUGCUCAAAUGUACAUGCCGUUGUUUCUACUGAGUUAGCAAAAAUCUGAUCAAUAUCAAGAGACAAUUAUUCCCUAAGUUUGCCACCUAUGUAAACCCACUGGAAUAAAUGGGGUUGCAUGGGUGUAACAGAGGGCUAAAUUUGGCCCCAAAUAUCAACGUGGCUGCGGCUUUGUAUAGCAUUGAUUGACCUAGAAUCAUGUUAAAGUGACUUGUCAGAGCUUCAGUCCCGACUGAAGCGACUCUGCAGAAGCUGUAUUUACAUAAGAGUGUGGGUGGCCUGAAUUGUCAUGAUGUGUUUAAAUAUCUGGCACUUAAUCACAGCUGUCCGCUUAUUUGCACUUUUGCUGCCGGGCAGUGGGACAAACUUGGAAUUAGCCAGAAUAAAACGUAUUAACAAGUUAACAGGGGUUCUAGGGUUGGCAGACCUUUUGUUUGCACAAACACACACGCACAGACUUCUAGUGAAGUUUGCAACUUUUUAAGGACCAGUCUGCACUUUUUUUUUCCCAAUAGUGUUUCCUGACGUAGUUUUAACACAUGUCAAGCUUAAAGGGGUGGUAGUUUUUGUUUUUACAUUUAGUUAUAACUUUACAACACUUACAAAAUUAUACAUUUUACAUGAAAAAACACCCUGCUCUUACCAGUCUCUAGAAUGCAGUAUAUGUAUGAAAAAAAAAUUAGAGGGGAAAAAACCCCAAACAGGCUCAGCUUAAGAGAACCAUUAUUCAAUUAUUCUUCAGUCAAGCCAAAACCCAUCAUCCUCCCCAUACGGAGAUCUCAAGUAAGCAUACAACCAAAAAUAAUUACAAGCAAAGCUCUUCAUAUACCUAAGGUAGUUAUAUGCCCCCAUUACAGUAGUAUCAAAGCACCUCACAAUCUUUCAAAUAUUUUUCCUCACAACACCCUCUAGGAGGUAGCAAAGCGCUAUUAUCUCCAUUUUACAGAUGGGAUAAGAGAGACUAAGUUAUUUGCUCAAGGUCACACAAGCAGCCUGUAGCAAAGCAGGAAGCUGAACCUUGCUCUCCUAAGUCUCAGGCUAGCAUCCUAACCACUACACCACUCUCCCUCUCUAUCAGUAGUGAAUGCUGAUAAACAGUAAAAUACACUACAGUUAUGAUUUAAUAACUGCAGCCAAAGCCACACACUACUCACGAGGGGGAAUUUUCCAGAGAAACUCAGACCUGGGCUACACUACAAAGUUAGGCUGACAUAAGCUGCCUUGCAUCUACCUGUUGUGCAUAUGGCAACACUUAAAUUUGUCUCCCACUGAUGUAAGCGCCCCGUUAUGGUGACAUGGUCGCACCACCUCCCCAAGCAGCACUGAGACUUGGUAAAUGUGCUGAGGCGGACGCAGCGUGAGUGUAUACACUGCGUUAUCUAUCUCGACCCUAACAGUCCUCCAGCAGCUGUUCUACACUGCCCGAUACUGACAGCUCUUGUCACACUGCCCAGGGGUCACGGAGACCAGAAGACACACCCCCCAUAAUUUUUGAAAUGCCUUUUUGUGAUUGUCCAGUUUGGCAAGCAUACCUAGCAGCUCUCCAUUGUUGUGUGCAACUGCCCAACCAGCCAUGCUGGCUACAUGCUCCAGAAGCACUCUGGGUUGGAGUAGGCUGGAGAUAUUGGAUCUCCGGGGCCUGUGGGGAGAAGAGACUAUGCAGGCACAGCUACAGACCAGCUGUAGAAACAUGGACAUCUACGAGCAGAUUGUAUGGGGGAUGCAGGAGAAGGGGACAACAGAGACCUGCAGCAGUGCCCCAUGAAAGCAAAGGAACUGCGGCAGGCAUAUCAGAAGGCCAGGGAGGUAAACCAUCAAUCCAGUGCUAAGAUGCAGGCUGGCCACUUUUCUAAAGAGCUGCAUGCCAUACUCAGCAGAUACCUCACCAGCACUCUGUAGAGCACGGAGGAUACUUCCGAGGAGCGCGAGUCACAGGCCCCUGGCAUAAACAGCAAGGUCAAGGAGGUAUGAGGAGGAGGAUGGGGGACGUACAGCUGGUGGGUUCAGCUAUGCCACCAACUCCACCACAGUCUAGUCCGUCCUGGCAGUCGAGCAAGGGCGAGCCCGACGCAGGGGAAGGAACCUCGGGUAAGUGUGUAAUUGUAUUUACCAUUACAGUACUGAUGUUGCCCCCAACUUAACAGGACAGAGCUAUCGACUUAUCAUUAAUUUACUCAUACUAGAAGAGGUAGCAGUACAGCAAAGAGAGGUAGAGUUGUGAUCUGCUUUUGAUUCUUCUGGAGAAUUAGGUGGGUUAUGAGGCGCAGUCUGUUUAUGUACACACGGAUAUCCCUUGAAUCCUCCUGAGAGAUCUCAAUGAAACUUUCAUGGAGGUACAGUACUCUGCAAUCCUCUCCUGAAGGUUUCUAGCCAUGGCAGCCUUAUUCCUUCCUCCGCGGCAGGACACUUUCCCAUGCCAGUCAGUGAUAAUUUCGACAGGCAUCACCCCAGUACGCAGUCUUUGUUACCCUCAGGGGUGAGAUAGCUAAAAUCACCACUGCCUGCAGAAAAUGGUGCCAGUGUUCAGUGCCAUUGCCCUAUACUCAGAGUUUUAUGUAGCUGAGCAAUUCCCUCCAUGUUUCCUUCACCCCUGGCAGGCCAUACUCACCAUUGCUGGUACUGUGCGUGGCACUGUGCACAAGCACUCUGAAGUAGAAGUGUCAAUAAGCAUGUCUUGUUUAAAACUUUACAGGAGCAAGGGACGGGAAUUCUGAGUCUCAACUUUCACUUUCCAUUGUGACUAUACUGACUAUGGCACUUCUGUGUGUUUUAUUUGCAGCUGCUGCCAUUGCAGCCUUGAGGGGCCCCCUUUCCACACCCACGGAUCACCUGAGCCAGAAGAAAGCAGAGGACUUGGGAUGACAUGUUCAAUGAAAUCCUGCAAUCCAGUGCUGCAUCAGACCAUGAACAGGGAGCCUAGAGCAGGGGUGGGCAAACUACGGCCCGCGGGCUGGAUUCGGCCCGCGAGCUGUUUUAAGACAGCCUGCGAGCUCCUGCUGGGGAGCAGGAUCUGGGGCUUGCCCCACUCCAGUGCUGCAGCCAGGGCACCAGGUCAGAGGCUGCACCACGCAGCUCCCGGAAGCCACAGCAUGGCCCUGCUCUAGGGUGCAGGGUCGGGGGCCAUUCCAUGCAUAGGAGCCAGAGAAAGGACAUGCCACUGCUUCCAGGAGCCCGUUGAGGUAAGCGCCGCUUGGAUCCUGCACCCCUUAGCCUCUCCCCACGCCCCAACUGCCUGCCCCAGCCCUGAUCCCCCUCCCACUCUCCAAACCCCUCAAUCCCGGCACGGAGCACCCUCCUGCACCCCAAACCUCUCAUCCCCAGCCCCACCACAGAGCCCACAUCCCCAGCCGGAACCUGCAUCCCUUCCUGCACCCCUGCCCCAGCCCCAGCCCUGAUCCCCCUCCUGCCCUCUGAAUCCCUCAGUCCCAGCCCAGAGCACCCUCCUACACCCCAAACUCCUCAUCCCCAGCCCCACGCCAGAGCCUGCACCCCCAACCAGAGCCCUCGCCCCUUCCCGCACCCCAACCCCAAUUUUGUGAGCAUUCAUGGCCUGCCAUACAAUUUCUAUUCCCCGAUGUGGCCCUCGGGUCACAAAGUUUGCCCACUCCUGGCCUAGAGGGUGAACACUGCAGACAGCCUGGAGAAGGAAAGAACAGACAGGAGAAAGGCUCAGGAGACCCAGAAGAAAGAGGAGAGGGAGAUACACCAGGGCAUAAUGGGGCUUCUCUGGCAGCAAGCACAGAUGCUGCAGCCUCUUGUGGAUCUACAUGUUCAACAGUCACAGGCUCGCCUCCCUUUGCAGUCCAUGGAGAACAGCAUUACGGCGCCUCUCUUCACCCCCCUUCAACAUUCCAUGUAGCAUCAGGGGCUGCAUCCCUACCCCUACCACCCUACUCCUAGGGACAACUACAGCUUCAUAUGCACUGACCUGUGAAAGCCACAGUUGCUGUAUGAGUAACUAAAAUGGACAUGAAUGUUCUGCCCCCUUGUUAAGAUCUGUUCCAUUAAUUUAUUAAGGUUUUAACGUAUUUGCUUUUACAUUGCACAGAUUUUUCUUUGCACUGGUUUUGUUACUGAAUAAAAUUCCAUUAUUUGGGAAAUAAUUCAUCUUGAUUAGUUCGCCACAUAGGCUGCAGAGUGCCUAGCAGUGCUGAAAGCACCCACUUACUUGUUGCUGUACAGUGUGACACAACUUACAGGAUCAGUGACAAACAGUGUAAUAAUAAUAAUAAAUUUACAGCAAGCACCACAAAAUUAAUAGGUGCAUGGACAGUGUUAUGUUCAUCCAUGUACACACAAUUCUUAACAGGCCCCAAAACAGCAGGGCCAGGUAGAGCACAGUACACAAUGCAUUACCGUGGCUCACUGCUAACCUCUUCUGUCAAUGCCUCCCUGAGCCUAUUCCUCCUCACUGAGUUUUUCAUUGUUCAAACUCAGCCAACACCCACUCCACCCCCAUCCCAGCGGAAAUUCUCCCCCUUCUGCUACACAGAUAUUGCGCAGGACACAGCAGGCAGCUAUAACUAUUGGGAUUUUUUUUUCAGAGAGCACCAAUCCUGUGAGUAAACAAUGUCAGCAUCUUUUCAACCUACCAAAAGCGCAUUCAACAGUCACUCUGCACCAACUGAGCCAAUAACUGAAUCUUUCCUUGGUGCUGUCAAGGUGGCCAGUGUACGGCUCCAUGAGCCGGGGAGCAAGGGGUAGGCUGGCUCUCCCAAAAUCACUAUUGACA